GCAGUUGCAUGAGCAGUUGCGUGAGUGACAGUCCACGCCCUCCUUUUCGGCCAAUUGACUAAUCUCAUUCAGUUGCACUCGUGGUUGUGAAGAAUAUAUUCAUUUGUUGUUCAAUCCCUUCUCUGAAAGCACUAUUGCUAACAUGGAGACAACGCAACAAGUUCCACGCUGGGGUUAAAGGUGAGGAUGUGUGAUUUCACCCAACUGCCUGAUGACCUCCACCAGGGUCUUCACUUCCUGCUUCCUCAUCUCCAGCAGCUCAAAGCGCAGGCCGGAGAUGUCCCGCUUGAUCUCCUUCACUUCACCUGCAGGAAUGCAAAGGCUGCAGUCAGGUUCCACGCUCAGUAGGAGGAGUUUAGUGACCUCCAAGUGCUCGUUGGACACGGCCAGCUGCAAGGCAUUCUGACCCAUGAAGUUGACGCUGUUGACGUUGAGGUCCGGCAGCUCGUCCAGCAUCCGCCUCACCUCAGGAACGUUGCCGCACACCACAGCCUCAAGGAACUCUUCCUCAAUCAUGGAUAGGAUGGAGCUGGAGGGGGCGUGGAAGAUGGGAGCAGAUUCCAGCAAGGCUGCAGGUCUUAAAGGCUCGGCUGUUACCUGCUGCAUUGUUAUGGCUC